rnacentral:lncRNA from 1 species
AUCAAACCUAUCCAUUCUUAAGGAAAUCAGCCCUGAGUGCUCACUGGAAGGACAGAUCCUGAAGCUGAGGCUCCAGUACUUUGGCCACCUCAUGAGAAGAGAAGACUCCCUGGAAAAGACCCUGAUUUGGGAAAGAUGGAGGACACAAGGAGAAGGGGACGACAGAGGACUAGAUGGUUGGACAGUGUUCUCGAAGCUACCAGCAUGAGUUUGACCAAACUGCGGGAGGCAGUGGAAGACAGGAGUGCCUGGCGUGCUCUGGUCCGGGGGUCACGAAGAGUUGGACAUGACUAAACGACUAAACAACAACAUAAAGAUUAUAUCUUUGGUGUUAGACCUGCAACGAUCUGUUCACACAUGCAAGUGUAGCACACGUAUGUGUGAAGCAGCCUUCCUUCACUGUUCAGUCUCGAACAGCUUUCAUGAUGUUUUCUGUUCUCCCCCAUGUGCAAAACAAGAGAAUUGAAAAGCACUAAUAUCUCGCUACCAACACCACAAAAGCAAGAACUGUUGUAACAAGCAAAAUGGGGGUGAGUAGCCAGGUUCUAUCCUUCAGAUUCCUGCUGUUUGAACAUUGCUCAUUGUCCUGAAUGUAUUGGAGAUUUGUAAAUCAGAUCCUGCAGGGGUGUGUGUGGAGUCCUCCUGCUUCCCCUGGGGGUGGGCAGGGGAAGAGGACCCGCAUUUCAAAGCAGCUGUCUCUGGGGAGUGGCGCAGAGAUCUGUAGGGCUGGCAGCUGUGCUUCCUGGGAACAGCCAGGAGCAAUUCUGCUGACGGGACUAUUUUGAGUUGAUUGCAGAUCUCAUGCUCUGAUGUGCUGAAACCUCGGCAUUUCCUUGCCUCGUCCUCCCAAGUCAUUCCAUGUGCUCUUCUUCCCAGCUCUGAACAUCACUUGACAUGAAACGGUGUACAUCUGGCAGCUGCUGCCAUGGAAUAGAUUUGCCGUCCUCCCACCUGCAAGCCCUUUCCAUGGGAAAUUGCCACACUCCCCCCCAAGGUGAAGACAGUUCAAAGUCUAGCCCUGAGACAUCUCUCUUCCUUUGAAGCUGAAUUUUAAGUGGGGGCAGGUAUGUGUGUCUCAGGUGACUUCACUACUACUUUUGCAAGAAAUCCAGGCUCCUGAUUACUCUGCGUCCAGUGUGUUCUCACCAUGGUUUGGGGAAGUGGUUGUACCCAUGGCAUUAGCCACAAUCCUGUAUCCAUCAUCUUGUUUCUUAGGAAAUACUGUUUUCAGACACAUCCCACUCCCCGCCCCCAGCAAACCAGCUUCCAUACAAAUUGAGAAAAAGAACAACCCAGCUGUUUUUUAAGCCAGUAAUACGUACACAGCCCCAGCGUUUCUGGAGAUCAACAAUGCAGGGCGUUUAGUUUGAAAAGAGGGAAAACAAAGAAAACCCAAACAACCUCAAAUUCCUGACGUGCAUUUUUUUAAAAAAAAUGUCUGGCUCUCUUUGGUUGAAUGAUCUGCAUCCCCCUCCUCACAUCUCCCCAAGUUCAGUCUCAUAAGUAUCAGGGAGUUAAAAAGAAGAUAAAAAACAAAACAAAACCAGGACAGGCAGGUUUGUAAAAUUAUAGGGUUUAGAUGCAUCAAAACCAAGGCGAGGGGGAGAGAGAGAGUGAAGGUGAAUUGCUGCACAAACCUCGUCCAGAACAGGCCUCUUGGAUAAGGAUCCAUUCUCCUGACAAAACGAGUUGCAUAACAAUGACGCUGAACUGGAAGCCUAUACAAACAAGUCCUUUGGUGAACCCACCUCGAAGGGGGGGGGAGAGAAAGGGGGACGCACAACAGCUGCUUCAUCUUGCCCUCCCCCACACCACCCACACAUUCUCUCAUGCGC